rnacentral:tRNA from 1 species
GUGCUUGUAGCUUAAUUGGAAGAGCGUCAGAUUACGAAUCUGAAGGUUGAGAGUUCGAUUCUUUCCAAGCAUG